AAGAUUUACAAUUAUUGGUUUUCAGCUCAGAGCACGUUGCACUGUUGCCCGUUUUUGACUGUGUUGCGAACAGACGGCUUCACCAUGCAGGUUCUCCACUGGUUCGUAUUGUUGAUCGUCGCCGUAUGCGCUCUGGUGAUCGUUCCCAGCGAGGCCUGCUCCAAGGAGAUCUGGGCUAAAUGCGACAGCGAUAAAGACUGCUGCUCGCCGCAUAAAUGCCACAGCUACAAGACAUCCAAAAAGUGCGUAGGAAAUUGUAAGCAGUCGGUGGCCCGUGGCGAGAAGUGUCCCUUUGAGUGAUUAAUUAACACCGCAUCUGCGUCUCAAUUAUGUUGGUCAAUCCACCGUAAAGGAUUGAGCUGUUGUACUUUGUACAGAGUAUUUUUUUUGUUAAUUUAUACGCAAGGCUUACAUUCUGUACAGACAUGUUGUAAUUACGCAGCCGAAUGGAAUUUGUAUGCAUAAAUAAAAAUAUGUUCGCUUG